GGACCCAUAGCUCAGCGGUAGAGCAUCUGAUUCCAGUGUUAAUAAUCAUCAUCGACAAAGUGAUGUAGACAACUGCCUCCAGAAGGUCAUCCGUUCAAAUCGGGUUGGGUUCA